rnacentral:rRNA from 1 species
UACGUAGGGGGCUAGCGUUGUCCGGAAUCAUUGGGCGUAAAGCGCGCGUAGGCGGCCCGGUAAGUCCGCUGUGAAAGUCAAAGGCUCAACCUUUGAAUGUCAGCGGAUACUGCCAGGCUAGAGUCCGGAAGAUGCGAGUGGAACUCCUGGUGUAGCGGUGGAAUGCGCAGAUAUCAGGAGGAACACCAAUUGCGAAGGCAGCUCGCUGGGACGUCACUGACGCUGAGACGCGAAAGCGUGGGGAGCAAACAGG